CAUGAAGCUGGAAUCGCUAGUAAUCGCAGGUCAGCAUACUGCGGUGAAUACGUUCCCGGGUCUUGUACACACCGCCCGUCACACCAUGGGAGCCGGAAAUGCCCGAAGCCAGUGACCCAACCUUAGGGAGGGAGCUGUCGAAGGUGGAGCCGGUAACUGGGGUGAAGUCGUAACAAGGUAUC
rnacentral:rRNA from 1 species